GACAAUGAGUCUGUUUUCAAAGUAGAGCCUCAGCCCCUAAACCAUCCUUUGUCCUGUUUUGUACUAUCAGAGCUGGACCUUGUCAUCACUUAACACUUGGGAUAGUGUUUAGCAUUAUGGUAGAAGGCUCUACAAUGGUCCCACAGGAGAAAGGACACUCUUCUACCUGAACCCAGUGGUUUUCCCCUUUUGCUCCAGGGAUAUGCAGCUGAAGUGCCCUUCUCUUGAGGGGUCACUCAAAAGUGUGCCCCCUGUGGGUGGCUUCUUAGAAAGUUUUAUCAGCACUCUGGAUGCAGCUUUCUAGUGAGGAGUCUUAGAGGGGGCUUCCCAGCAAGUUUCAGCGACCUGCUCUUCAUUGUCUUCAGCUGGAGGCUUCCUAGUGGUGCUGCUGGAAUUCCCUUAGAGCAGCUAGUUUCUGGCUGGCCAGGCCUGGUACUCAACACCUCAGGGAAAUUCUCUCCCUGCAGUGGGAGGCAGCUGCACCUUCUCCAGCUGGUUCCGAGCUUCAGUCUGGGGGACUUUCUCCCAGGAUGCUCUUCCUUGAAAACUCUGUUUUAGUCCUAGCAGGAGUGGCUGCCACUUACACCUGCUUUUUCUGUGUUUUUUAGAUUCUCUCUAUCCUUUUUAUUAGUAAAUUCCCUCUGAUGAAUGGAUAAUUAUUCAUAUUCAAAUUUUCCAAUUCAAACGACUGGUUUGGUUACUGCCUGCGAGCCGACAUUGGCUGAUACAGACACCAUACAAGAACCCAGAAAAAGCUGGAAGAUAGGCAUGCCCUCUGUGACCACAACAUCCUGAAAGAAUCCAUUCUUAGCCACUUGGUCCUGAGCGUGAAAGGAGGUGUCUAAGCGCUUCCUUUUAAGUUCUCAUUAGAUUUUAUUUCAAUAAAGUUGUUGCAUCCCUUUCUCCUCCUCCCCCCGCUCCCCCCCCCCCCAAAAAAAAACGGUCCAUGGUUUCGCGGCUAUAGAGGAGCCACCUGGCUGCAGCUUGGAAAUCCAGGCAUUCAUCUCCCGGCGCCAUGGCUGUGGGCACAAAUGUGUAGGAGAUUCUAGAACUGGGGGAUGAGAGAGGCACAGGGCUUCCGGGACCAUCAGCAAGAAGCAGAUUAUCAAGCCAGACAAGAAAAAGUCCAAGAAGUCCUACGAAGUCCUGGCCUUCCAGAAGUCUGCGGAUGUGCACCCGGAAGUCUACCGCUGCUCUAGUCUGACAAGAAGGACUCACUGCUAUCCAGUGACACGGGCAAGGCCACCGCACCGUGAGGGCCAAGUUGGGCACCAAGAAGACGUGGCCCUGGAAGUGGAUGCCAUCCACCAACCCAGCAUGCAAGGAUGGAGCCUGUUCUUCCACUGGCGACAGGCAGCUGAGGAGGGCAAGGCUGUCCCCUUGCCCACGUUCGAUAAGACUGUUGGUGCCCGUGCAUUCAGAGCAGGAGUACCAGCUCUGGCUUCACCAAGACACUCAAACAGAGGCAGAAACUGGCCACCUCUUUGACCUCAGCCGCUGCUUUGGUCUCCCUUUUGUCAUUCGCCAUGCCUGGGAUGAUCGCCAGCAGUUGACGGAGCCACCUGUGGAGGACUUGAAGGAGCGGUAUUACCGCGUCUGAGCAGAGCUGGCCAACGUCCAGGCCGAGAUCUGGACAACGCACAGACCUCGGGGUACCAGUGUUCGAUGCUUGGCACUGGCGACGGUGGAAGGAACAACUGAAGCAUUGCUGUAAGUUGCCAGUAAGCACGCGACGGCGGAAGAGUACCCACUAUAUAAGCUGCUCCAGAUCUAGUCCCGGCAGAAGCAGCGUAGUGGGGAGCGCGGGAGCUUCUGACGGCUGCUGGCCGGGCUGCCUAGCAACGUCCUCCUGACGCAGUCACCUCACAAAAAAGGGGCCAAGAAGCCGGUUGUUCUGAGACUACAGGCAUGACUACCUUAGCAGAUGGAGCUGCUAGGGUCUAUGGAACAGACGAUCGAGGCCUGGAACCAGUGCUGGAUGUGGAGCUGAGCCCGGAGGAGGGGUUGGUGCGCAGGCUCGGCGAGGCGCGGCCCGAGCUGGUGCAGGUGGACCAGCUCGAGCAGGAUGGCGCCGCCCGUGGGGACGAGCCCCGGACGCUGGCCCCGGCUGGGUGCUGCGAGGCUGCCACCCCAGCGUCGGUGCUGGCCCUGGCGGAGCCUGAACCUGGCCUGGGGCCUGCUCCUAGCAAGGGCACCAUCGUCUACCAUCAUCGCACCCAUUGCGUCCACGAGGAAGCGAUGGGAAUCAUCUCCAGCUCCUCUUCUCUGAAAAAACCAAGAAACCCUGAGAGGCCGCAAGGGGUGAAGGAUGCGGCUGCGUAGAGCUGAUCUACAUUGUCCUACAUCGGGGCCCUCCUUCAGCCCUACAGCCUGAGCCCCAGAAUGACUGUCACUGGGAGCAGAGCCACAGCUGACUUGCAUGGCCACACACUCAGGGUAUUUCAUAUUGGAGUUGCUCCUUCACCACGGGUCCCCAAUUAGAACAAUGAGGUAGAAGCCAAAUGGAGCUGAGACACAGUCAACGAGACCCGGGUUUGAUCCCUGGGUAGGGAAGAUCCCCUGGAGAAGGAAAUGGCAACCCGCUAUAGUCCAUGGGGUCACAGAGAAUCAGGCACGACUGAGCGACUUCACUUCAUCCCUGCUUCCAGCAACCACCAGCCCAAGUCAGUCUGCAGCCAUCAACAAUCGAAGCCAGACCCUCUGUCAGCAAGAUGAUGACUUGCUAAAGACUCAGAUGAUGGACUUCAGAGCAAACAAACCCAAGGGAAUCCUGAUCUGAGAAAAUGGAGUCCAUAUAUUUUUCUUUGAGCUGAAGGAAAGCAAAUGUAAGCAUUGUGUAAUUACUCGCUGAAGCAUCUGUAUGGUUCCUGUAGAAAAGAACAUCCAUAUAAUCCUGGUGUUGGAGUCAAAUUAUUUGCUUAUUCUCAUUCUUUGUGUGACAAGUGAGUGAUUUCCCCCUAAACCUGGACAUUCAAGCUAAAAUCUGAUUAUUAUUUAAAUUUUGUGUUUAUCAAGCUUCCUCCAAUGGCCACUUCAGUGCAAGAAGAGUGUGGGGGUGUCGUCUUGUUACCUUCAGACGAGCCGGAAGUGCAGGUUCUUCACAUGGCCUGGUUUCCCAUUGGGAUGAACGGGGGCUCUUUGUUACUGCUGGACGGGCUCAGAGUUCCAGCUCUCUCUCCAACUUCAGCUGGGACCUGGCUGGAAGCAGGAGAAGAUCUCGUCACCAGGCUUCACUGGGGCCCCCGCUGCCAGUUCCUUGGAGGAAGUGGACUCGUUAUCACGGAGUAGUGCUAAGAGCCUUGACUGCAUAGUUCUUGUUCUCACACACCCUCGGUGAGGAAGUGGAGGUACCUUGUUACUGCUGCAGAGAAGUGGCGAUCCAGACUCUGUCCUGGUCUCCACUGCAGCAUGGCACGAGAUCUGUCAGGGAUGGAAAGCUCAGUUCUCCAGUCAGCCUCUUCUGAUACCAAGCUGUGGAAGGAAAGUUAGAGUAUCUCACUGUUGCCUGCCAAGGGUGGAAGUCUUGCUUUUCCACGCAAAACUUUGCUAGAAAGGAUGAGGCUGGGGCUUACUCUACAGGUUACUCUACACCGGUUAUUGGGUGAAGGUUUUUCUCUUGUUACCUGGUCCUUCGGCUACAGAGAAGAGGCUGUACGAGGGUUCUUUUAGCAGCUUCUCCAGUAUUCAUUCUGAGAUACAUGAGACAAAAAGAAAACUUCAGAAUUCACCAAGUCGUUCCACAUAAACAUAGGUAUAAAUAUCUCCCAGUUUUGAACUUGUACUUGGUGGUUGGAAUAGGUAAAAGUACAUCUGUUCUUCUCCAUACUCUUUGAAAGUUCGAUAAAAUUCAUAUGAUUCUUGUUUUGUAAAUUGAGGUAUAAGUGAAAUAUAACAUUUCAGAUGUAUAAUAAAAUGGUUCAGUGUUUGUAUAUAUUGUGAAAUGAUCAUGAUAAAUUAUCUUAAAAAUCUUUUUAGAAAGCUAUAAUAAACUGAACAAAAUGUUUAUUGUAAUAUGCCUCACAGCAGAUAAUACUUAAUGUGAUAUAUGUCUCUGAUAUUUUACCCUGCUUUAAUGCCAAAUACUAAAGAAAAUGAUACAAACACAGAUCAUUACUGCCAGCAAAAAAUAAAUAAAAUUCACAUCCCUUUGGUGAAAUGCAAUGAUACAAACCAUGAGUUUGGAUAAUGUGGAUGACACUUUACAUGGAAAGGAAAAUCAAGAAUGAAAAUAAUUGUGAUGGAGUCCUGUGGUAUUCUUUUAAAACUCCUAUUAAAAUAUUGGAGGAUGAUGGGGUACAAGUGGAGACGUGAAUAGGUGCUUUAGGGUGACUACUGCAGUUUAUCUGGACCUCGCCUGGUUUUAACACUGAACGUCUCUUAGUCCUGGACAAACAGGAAGCGUAGUCAUCCUCACUGGACAACUGUGCUGAUUUACAGGUACUGUGCAAUUUUAAUCUUGUAAUUGUGGCUGUUUUACUACUAAUGCAUCCAAGGAAUUAUUAAAAUAACUGGGUAAAGUUCACCACAUUCUCUUACCUCAUCCAUCGUUGUAGCUGGGAGCUUGUGACUUCUAGUAACUACUGAAUUGGGUUUUCUGCUCUUGUUCUUCACCUCCUUUAGUCCCUUUGUUUCCAAACAGCAGAGUUCUUAAGAAUUGCAUUAGAAUCAAGCAAUUGGAGAGAUAUAUUUAUGAUUAGAAAACUGUUGACUAGAACCAAAGUUUAUUAUAUUAUCUGUAGAAUAAUAGACAUUUUAAAAUGAAUUAAUGUAGUUUGCUAUAUUUGCUAAAGUUAUAUUGUAUCAAUUACUUACUGGAAUCUUCAUUUACAAGAAAUAAUAGUAAUGUAGAAUAAUCUUAUAUUUAUAAACCAACCCUUUACUGUACAGAAGAAACUAACAACACUGUAAAGCCAUUACAAUAAAAAUUAAAUGAAAUCAUUAAAAUUUAUUGUUUUGUUAUGUAUACCCCCUUUAAGUAAUCAAUGUAAUUUUUAGUGUGUUGUAUAAAUUGGCAUGUUAGGAAU
ensembl:lncRNA